CUGAGUCUGGUGGGGACGUGGAGAGUCUUUAUAUCUAGCUCAGGGAUUGUAAAUACACCAAUCAGCACCCUGUGUUUAGCUCAAGGUUUGUCAGUGCACCAAUCGACACUCUGUAUCUAGCUGCUCUGGUGAGGACGUGGAGAGUCUUUAUGUCUAGCUCAGGGAUUGUAAAGACACCAAUCAGCACUCUGUAUCUAGCUCAAGGUUUGUAAAUACACCAAUCAGCACCCUGUGUCUAGCUCAGGGUUUGUGAAUGCACCAAUCAACACUGUAUCUAGCUGCUCUGGUGGGGCCUUGGAGAACCUGUGUGUGGAAACUCUGUAUCUAACUAAUCUGAUGGGGAGGUGGAGAACCUUUGUAUCUAGCUCAGGGAUUGUAAACGCACCAAUAAGCGCCCUGACAAAACAGGCCACUCGGCUCUACCAAUCAGCAGGAUGUGGGUGGGGCCAGAUAAGAGAAUAAAAAGCAGGCUGCCCGAGCCAGCAUUGGCAACCCGCUCGGGUCCCCUUCCCCACUGUGGAAGCUUUAUUCUUUCGCUCUGCAAUAAAUCUUGCUACUGCUCAGUUUUUGGGUCCACGCUGCUUUUACGAGCUGUAACACUCACCGUGAAGAUCUGCAGCUUCACUCCUGAGCCAGCGAGACCACGAACCCACCAGAAGGAAGAAACUCCGAACACAUCUGAACAUCAGAAGGGACAGACUCCAGAAACGCCACCUUAAGAGCUGUAACACUCACCGCCAGGGUCCGUGGCUUCAUUCUUGAAGUCAGUGAGACCAAGAACCCA
rnacentral:lncRNA from 1 species